UGCCAGCCGCCGCGGUAAUACGGGAGUGGCAAGCGUUAUCCGGAAUUAUUGGGCGUAAAGCGUCCGCAGGCGGUCUUGUAAGUCUGUCGUUAAAGCGUGGAGCUUAACUCCAUUUGAGCGAUGGAAACUGUAAGACUAGAGUGUGGUAGGGGCAGAGGGAAUUCCCGGUGUAGCGGUGAAAUGCGUAGAUAUCGGGAAGAACACCAGUGGCGAAGGCGCUCUGCUGGGCCAUAACUGACGCUCAUGGACGAAAGCCAGGGGAGCGAAAGGGAUUAGAUACCCCUGUAGUCCUGGCCGUAAACGAUGAACACUAGGUGUCGGGGGAAUCGACCCCCUCGGUGUCGUAGCCAACGCGUUAAGUGUUCCGCCUGGGGAGUACGCACGCAAGUGUGAAACUCAAAGAAAUUGACGG
rnacentral:rRNA from 1 species